UACUGUCUCCCUACAUUAGACUGUGAGCUCCUUGAGGGCAGGAACUGGCUUUUGGUUUGGGGGGGGGGUGGU